UAAGUACUCCCUCCUUCCCAUAUUAAAGUGCCUAAAUAUUACAUGUAUCUAGUCAUCUAGAUGUAUUUUAGUAUAUAGAUACGUCCAUAUUUAUACAAAUUUGAGUCACUUAAUAUGGGACGGAGGGAGUACUUU
rnacentral:pre_miRNA from 1 species